rnacentral:tRNA from 1 species
GUGGAUAUGGUGAAGCGGUUAACACACUGGAUUGUGGCUCCAGCACGCGUGGGUUCGAUCCCCACUAUCCACCCCA